rnacentral:rRNA from 1 species
UACGGGGGGGCAAGCGUUGUUCGGAAUUACUGGGCGUAAAGCGUGCGCAGGCGGUUUUGUAAGCCAGAUGUGAAAUCCCCGGGCUUAACCUGGGAAUGGCAUUUGGGACUGCAAGGCUCGAGUGCGGCAGAGGAGACUGGAAUUCCGGGUGUAGCGGUGGGAAUGCGUAGAGAUCCGGAAGAACACCAGUGGCGAAGGCGGCCUGCUGGG